rnacentral:rRNA from 1 species
AAUGCCGCGUGUGUGAAGAAGGCCUGCGGGUUGUAAAGCACUUUCAACAGGGAAGAAAAAGGUAGAGUUAAUACCUCUGCCCUUGACGUUACCUGUACAAGAAGCACCGGCUAACUCCGUGCCAGCACCCGCGGUGACUGAGCGGGCUGGCAAGGCGCAUA